rnacentral:rRNA from 1 species
AGGAUCAACGCUGGCGGCGUGCCUAACGCAUGUAAGUCGAACGCAGUGCCUUCGGGUACUGAGUGGCGAACGGCUGAGGAACACGUACGAACCUGCCCUCCCGUGGGGAAUAACGCCGCGAAAGCGGUGCUAAUACCGCGUACGCUGGGACUUCGGUUUCAGGAAAGUCUUCGGACGCGGGAGGAGGGGCGUGCGGCCCAUCAGGUCGUUGGUGGGGUAACGGCCUACCAAGCCAUUGACGGGUAGCUGGUCUGUGAGGACGAUCAGCCAGACUGGGACUGCGAAACGGCCCAGACACCUACGGGUGGCAGCAGCGAGGAAUCUCCACAAUGGACGCAAGUCCGAUGGAGCAACGCCGCGUGGAGGACGACGGCCUUCGGGUUGUAAACGUCCGUUUCGGGGGAGAGUACGGACAGUACCCCAAAGCAGCCCCGGCUAACUCUGUCGCCAGCACGCCGC